GGAAUGAUAUUUUCAAUGCGUUUGUUUCGGAAGGGAAGUUGAAAAGAAUUUUGAAGUAAAGACUAUGUUUUACUCCGAAACUGGGGGGCAUGUGUUGACGCCAGAUUUUGACACGUGUGAAAUCGGCGACAAGAAAGGAAGAAAUCAGGAGAUGCGGCAAAACACAGAAGUCACAAUUGGAAAUCGGCCGAUUAGUGCUACAGUUGAGGAUCGGCCGAUUGGUGCUGCAGUGUUUCCGCGGAUGGAGUUGGUGGAAAUCGACCGAUUAGGAGGCUAGAGCGAUUGAGCCG
rnacentral:lncRNA from 1 species